GAGGCAGUUGCUGAAGGAGAGAACAGGUGGAGGCCAUCUGACAGUGACAUUCCUCAAAGCUGGGCAGCACAUUCUUCCUUGAAGGGGUCUGUCUGACACACCUCCGUAUCUGCCACAUGGGAAUAGGAGUGUAAAAGACUGGAUCCUUCCAACAAUAUUAGUCACAGUGUAUAAACCUUGGAAAGCAUUAUUUUAUCAUCUUUUGGAAGAAUGGAGUUCUCACAGCAGGCUUAAAGCAGUAGAGACUUCCAAAGGGGGUCAUGGUGGAAAAAAGGAAGAGAGUCGACUAUCAUCCUCCAAUAAUGCCGGUAAAAAAACUUGUCAGAUCCUCACACGAAAGGGACCUUCUAAGAACAAGAUGCAAGUAGAAUCAUCAGAGUGACGGCUUUUCAAACUUUAAAUUAUUUAUGGGUUAUGUACUCGGAUCCUGGGCAGGCUGGUGUCAAGAGAGCUUCAUCCAGAAAAGAAUAAAAAUUUCCUGAUUUUACUGAUGGAAAGAUGAACUGAGGGAGCAAGAAAAUUAUACAGAGAAUUUUACAGACCCAAAGGCUGAGAGAAAUGUAGGGCUGCUGGGUUUCCUACAUCAAUCUGGAAUAACUGCACUGAGAUGUUGGGAAUUCAUCCAUGCAAAAUUACUUGAGUAGAAAAAUUAUUUUCUACUACAAACCCACAAAAUAGAGGAUCAAUAAACUGCCAGGAGAUAGAAAACACUGAGUAAUCACGUGUAUCAAACUGAAGAGCUGUUGCUGCUGUAUACUUCGGAGACUCUGCUGUAUGUCUAAUUAAGCAACUGAAAUGAUUUUUGGACUAUAACAUGUACUUUAAAAGUGGAAUUUGAAGGGCAAAUUUGAACAAAGACUUGAAAAAGGCAGGAGCAUGCGGUGUGAGUAUCUUGGAAAUGAUUGCUGCAGGCAGAGGAAACAGCAAAUGCAAAGGCCCUGCAUCACUCAGAGCAGGAGAUCGAUGACACAAUCAAAUUGGAUAUUGUGAAGAGAGUUUUUAAAAGUGUUAAUUAUAAACCUGUGAGCAGGUUAUAGGGAAAUGACAAGGGGCAGUAUAGUAUUUAGGAGACGAAGACAGUGGGGUGCUAUCAUCAUCACUAAGCCUGCCUGAGUGGCAGGAAAGUAGCUAUUAGAAUUUAGAGUAAGAGACAGCUGUGUUGAGAGUCUGCCCACCAGGAGCUGUGACCCUUAGGCCGAGGAUGUGGCAUCUGCAUAAACACUGCAGGAAAGAAGCACUGGAGUAAAGACCCACUGACCCCACUCUUGUCCCUUCCUUACAUCUUCAUCUGAGCUCCCCAUUGGACGAAACCGACCUGGAAGCAGAGGUCCGGGGAGAGAAUUGAGAUGGGUCAUAGAGUUUAUCCUUCCAGGGCAUAAAACAGGCUUGAGAAGGGUGGAGAGUGUCUGUGCCUGGAAGGGCAAACAAAAGGCAUCUGGCACAGCUCUAAGCUGAGAUCAUGGCUGAUGUGAAGAGGAGUAGCAAGGCUGUCACUGUGAUUAUAGAGGAAGGAUUGAGGAGGGGAAUAUCAGGAGAUGAGUUCAGACAAAUUGCAGAGUAGAGUUUCAUGGGCAUUGUCAGGCAUUGAGAAGUCCUUAGCUAUCACUGUGAGUCAAAUAGAGAGCUGUGGAAGAGUUCUGUGUGAGGCGAUGAUGUGAGCAGACAUCACUUAAAAGUAUCUCCCUGGCUGCUGAGUUAAGAACAGACUGACGUGGGGCAAGGGUGGAAUCAUGAGACCAAGGAGGAUGCUUUUGCCUAAUUUGGGCGAGAGAGAGUGGUUUGAACAGAUGGAUGCAGUGGAGGUUGUAAGAAUGGAGAGGUUUCUGAAUACAUUUUAAAAGUAGAGCCAAUCAGAUUUGCUGAUAGAUUGAAUUGGAGGGAGGUGUGUGAGGGAAAGAGAGGAGUCAAGGAAUCGAGGAUGACUCUGAAUUGGAAGCAUGGAGUUGCCAUGGAUUGAUUUGAGAACACUGCGGAAGGAGUGCAGUUAUUGAGGAAAACUCAAACAUUGGUUUUGGAUAUGUUGAGCUUGAGAUGUCUCUUGGGAUGUGAGGAAUAGGCAGUUGGCUUUAUGAGUCUUGACUUUAAAAGAGAGAUUAUAGUGAAUUCUUAUAAUUUUAUGAUGCCUCGGCAUCAAUUUUGAGUGUAAGUUGGACCUUCAUAUGCCAACAACAGGGCUUUGUCACCUGUGACACAGUUUACAGUUCUCUGCCUUCUCCUAGUCUCUCACUGUCAUCAAUACAGCCACCUCCUGGUAACCACCUCCCUAUGGGAGAGCUAGAUACAACCUCCUUGACUCACCACACUAUUUUCCUAUUUAUGAAACAGGGUGGAUCUCUUUUUCCUCUGUCUUCUCAAACAUACACUCUUUCAAAACCCUCUGUGGCCUAACCUUUCUCUGGCGAUACAAGUCAUGCUUGGUUUAACCCCCAAGCCCAGCAUAGACAGUGUGGCUAUGCCACAGUGAUCACCUCUCAGUCACAGUGUACCUCCAUGGAACUCAUGCCUGCUUGCUCAAACCUAUCAAUUAGAAAUCCCCUUGGUAAACCUGCUUGGGGAAUGCCCUGGACUUCGGUAAAGGCAUUGGCUCACAGGUCCUUUUCUCUCUCUCUCUUGCCGCCCACUCACUGGUUGAGUGUGUAUGUCCUGGAUGACUACCCCCUUCCCAUUGGCCCUGAGAGGCAUGCUGCCCUCUUCAUUCUGGGAUCUGUAAUUAAUAAACUGUUUCUGCAUUUCAUGAGUUUUGUUGUGUUGCAUCCUCUGUGUCUCACCUAACUAACACACUUGAAUCUAACUUCUUUCCUAGUCAGGGGUCUCUUAGAGAGCAGUGAUCUUAGUAGGAAUAAACUGAUAUAGGUCAGACAAAAGCCACAAGGGCAUCUUGCAGUAUAAACAGGUUUCCUGUGAAAGAGACACCUGGUAGCAAGUCAGACACUCAGGCAUUAGGUCAUCCACUGGGAUAAAGAAGUAUCACGGGUGUGGUGGCUCAUGCCUGCAAUCCCAGCACUUUUGGAGGCCAAAACGAGUGGAUCACCUGAUGUCAGGAGUUCGACACCAGCCUGGCCAACAUGGCAAAGCCCCAUCUCUACCAAAAAUACAAAAAUUAGCUGGGUGUGGUGGCGGGUGCCUGUAGUCCCAGCUACUCAGGAGGCUGAGGCAGGAGAAUGGCUUGAACUUGGGAGGUUGAGGUUGCAGUGAGCUGACAUCACAGCACUGCACUGCAGCCCAGGCAACUAAGACCCCGUCCCAAAAAACAAAACAAAACAAAUGAAACAACAACAACAACAACAACAACAAAGGAAGUAUCAAGUGAAAGGCACAUUGUAAACAUCCACGACCCCCUUCCCUGGAGCCCUGUGAGGGCAGGGCUAGAAUUUAUAGACACACUCCAGAGAGAGAGAGAGAGAGAGAGAGAGAGAGAGAGAGAGAGAGAGACCUCAAGAGCAAAUCAGAGGAAAU
rnacentral:lncRNA from 1 species